rnacentral:rRNA from 1 species
GGACCCGCACAAGCGGUGGAGCAUGUGGUUUAAUUCGAUGCAACGCGAAAAACCUUACCUACACUUGACAUACUUGGAAUCUUUUGUAAUGAAAGAGUGCCUUUUGGAGCCAAGAUACAGGUGCUGCAUGGCUGUCGUCAGCUCGUGUCGUGAGAUGUUGGGUUAAGUCCCAUAACGAGCGCAACCCCUUACCCUUAUUUGCCAGCGAUUCGGUCGGGAACUAUAAGGGGACUGCCGGUGAUAAACCGGAGGAAGGUGAGGACGACGUCAAGUCAUCAUGGCCCUUACGUGUAGGGCUACACACGGUGCUACAAUGGGAGUACAGAGGCGGCCAACUUGCGAGAGUGAGCGAAUCCCAAAAGUGCGUCGU